rnacentral:rRNA from 1 species
UACGAGGGGUGCAAGCGUUGUUCGGAAUCACUGGGCGUAAAGGGAGCGUAGGCGGAAAUUCAAGUCGGUCGUACAAUACCAGGGCCUAACCCUGGAACUGCGGCCGAUACUGGAUUUCUUGAGUUGUUUAGAGGCAGGCGGAAUUCCAGGUGUAGCGGUGGAAUGCGUAGAGAUCUGGAAGAACACCAAUGGCGAAGGCAGCCUGCUGGGAACAAACUGACGCUGAGGCUCGAAAGCGCGGGUAGCAAACAGG